AAUUUAAGAGUUUUUGGAUCAACAUGGUGUGCAAAGUACAAACAACAAGCUUCCGAAAUGUAUCCCGCUCAAAUCCGUCUCUCUGACUCAAGAAUUCCCUUCAAAUUUUUUUGAAUUGCCAAAUGUCUGAUGUUGCAGUACCUUUUUCUUGGCUGCCAGCUUUACUUUUCUAUCAUUUCAAAUUCAAACACAAAAAGAAUCUGAUAUCUCCCACCAUAAUUCACUCCCCCUUUCUCUCUCUACAAAACCCAGUUGUCUCUACAAACGUUCAUCAUUCUAUUCAAAUGUAGGGGGUCUCGAAGACGAUGACAGAGGGCUUGGUUGGUUGCCAUAUUGGUGUAACAAGAUGACAGUGAGGAAUUUCGGCUGAGCCAAACUUCCGGCGACCUAGACUAGGGUUCCAAUCAACUUCCGUGAGCAGUUAGGGAUUUUGGCGAGUAGAUUAGGGUUCCGGCGAAACCCUUUCACUACAUGUUGUCACCUCUGUCGACAAUGAACUAAUUGAAGACCUGCAGUGGUGAAAGUUCUUAGACUGGAUGGUUUGUAUAUGAUUUACAGAUCUUUGUGGAAUGCAGGAGAUGGGGGUUGUCACCAGGAGAGGAUAAAAAAGAUCUAUUGCUGAUGCAUUUGUGAAUUUUAAGGCACUUAUAUAAUGCAGAAGUUCUAAGGCCCGUAUUAGCAGCAUAAAGGAAUCUAUUGCUGAUGCAUUUAAGCUUCACAAAUUAGGCUAGCUAAACAAAUCAUGUGAGUUGGGCUUAACUUGUGGGAUUGUCCCAAAUAUGAUUUAAUAUCACUUUUACAUGUGAUUACUCUCUCUCAUAGAUUUCAUGGCUGGAAAUGAACAGUUUGGUCUUCAAAGGGCAGAAGACAUCGAUCGAUAGAGUGAUAGAGUGCUGAGAAACAUUAUUUCUUCUCUGUUCAACUGGAUUUCUCGUAGGACCAAUCAUAUGGAAACUUGCUGGAACUCUUGGUCCUCGAAUCUCCUUUGUAACUUGUAAUAUGCCAUAGUUGUUCUUUGUUUUGUUCGUUUGUAUCCAACAGCUCUUUGCUGGAGGCGUUUCUUUCGCCUUGUUUUAAUGAUAUCCCCCCCCCCCCAAAAAAAAAAU